UACGGAGGGGGCUAACGUUGUUCGGAAUUACUGGGCGUAAAGCGCACGUAGGCGGCUUUGCAAGUUAGAGGUGAAAGCCCGGGGCUCAACUCCGGAAUUGCCUUUAAAACUGCAUCGCUAGAAUUGUGGAGAGGUAAGUGGAAUUCCGAGUGUAGAGGUGAAAUUCGUAGAUAUUCGGAAGAACACCAGUGGCGAAGGCGACUUACUGGACACAUAUUGACGCUGAGGUGCGAAAGCGUGGGGAGCAAACAGG
rnacentral:rRNA from 1 species